AUGCAAGUCGAACGAAGUAGCAAUACUUAGUGGCAGACGGGUGAGGAACAUGUGGGUAUCUGCCCUUUGGCCUGGAAUAACACGAGGAAACUUGUGCUAAUACCGGAUAAGUCUUUACGGAGAAAGCUUUAUGCACCAUUGGAUGAGCCCGCACUUGAUUAGUUUGUUGGUGGGGUAAUGGCCUACCAAGACUUUGAUCAAUAGCUGAUUUGAGAGGAUGAUCAGCCACAUUGGGACUGAGACACGGCCCAAACUCCUACGGGAGGCAGCAGUGGGGAAUCUUGCACAAUGGAGGAAACUCUGAUGCAGCGAUGCCGCGUGAGUGAAGAAGGCCUUUGGGUUGUAAAGCUCUUUCGUCGGGGAAGAAAAUGACUGUACCCGAAUAAGAAGGUCCGGCUAACUUCGUGCCAGCAGCCGCGGUAAUACGAAGGGACCUAGCGUAGUUCGGAAUUACUGGGCUUAAAGAGUUCGUAGGUGGUUGAAAAAGUUGGUGGUGAAAUCCCAGAGCUUAACUCUGGAACUGCCAUCAAAACUUUUCAGCUAGAGUUUGAUAGAGGAAAGCAGAAUUUCUAGUGUAGAGGUGAAAUUCGUAGAUAUUAGAAAGAAUACCAAUUGCGAAGGCAGCUUUCUGGAUCAUUACUGACGCUGAGGAACGAAAGCAUGGGUAGCGAAGAGGAUUAGAUACCCUCGUAGUCCAUGCCGUAAACGAUGUGUGUUAGACGUUGGGAAUUUAUUUUCAGUGUCGCAGCGAAAGCGAUAAACACACCGCCUGGGGAGUACGACCGCAAGGUUAAAACUCAAAUGAAUUGACGGGGACCCGCACAAGUAGUGGAGCAUGUGGUUUAAUUCGAAGAUACGCGCAGAACCUUACCAACACUUGACAUGUUCGUCGCGACUUUAAGAGA
rnacentral:rRNA from 1 species